GACGAACGCUGGCGGCGUGCUUAACACAUGCAAGUCGAACGGAUUUUCCCUGCUUGUGUGUUGUUCUCGAGUAGGGAACUGGUGAGUAACACGUGAGUUGCCUGCCCUUUACUUUGGGAUAACUUCAGGAGACUGGGUCGAAUACCGGAUAUAAUCUCCUGCUGCAUGAUUUGGGUUGUAGAGUUUCGGCGGUUGGGGAUGUACUCGCGGCUUAUCAGCGUGUUGGUGUGGUAGUGGCUGACCAAGGCUUGGACGGGUAGCCGGCCUGAGAGGGUGACCGGCCACAUUGGGCCUGAGAUACGGGCCAGAGUCAUACGGGAGGCAGCAGUGGGAAAUAGUGCACAAUGGGCGGAAGCAGGAUGCAGCAACGCCGCGUGCGAGAUGACGGUCUUCGGGUUGGAAAAAGCUUGAGAGUGUGAAGAAGAGUGCGUGACGGUAAUGAGCCAAGAAGCAACGGCUAACUACGUG
rnacentral:rRNA from 1 species